GGAGGUUACAGCAAAUGGUAGAGAGCAUGCUUAGCAUGCAUGAGAUCCUGGGUUCAAUCCCCAGUACCUCCU
rnacentral:tRNA from 1 species